rnacentral:rRNA from 1 species
CAGUCGCCGCGGUAAAACGAAUGGUGCAAGCGUUAAUCGGAAUUACUGGGCGUAAAGCGUGCGUAGGCGGUGAGUUAAGUCCGCUGUGAAAUCCCCGGGCUCAACCUGGGAAUGGCAGUGGAUACUGGCUCGCUAGAGUGUGUCAGAGGAUGGUGGAAUUCCCGGUGUAGCGGUGAAAUGCGUAGAGAUCGGGAGGAACAUCAGUGGCGAAGGCGGCCAUCUGGGACAACACUGACGCUGAGGCACGAAAGCGUGGGGAGCAAACAGGAUUAGAUACCCGCGUAGUCCCUGUCUCUUAUAC